rnacentral:rRNA from 1 species
UACGUAGGUGGCAAGCGUUGUCCGGAAUUAUUGGGCGUAAAGCGCACGUAGGCGGCUUAGCAAGUCGGAAGUGAAAUCCCUCGGCUCAACCAAGGAAGUGCUUUCGAAACUGCUGAGCUUGAGUACUUAAGAGGAUCGCGGAAUUCCCGGUGUAGAGGUGAAAUUCGUAGAUAUCGGGAGGAACACCAGUGGCGAAGGCGGCGAUCUGGGAAGAUACUGACGCUGAGGUGCGAAAGCGUGGGGAGCAAACAGG